rnacentral:rRNA from 1 species
UGGGGAAUAUUGGGCAAUGGACGCAAGUCUGACCCAGCAACGCCGCGUGAAGGAAGAAGGCUUCGGGUUGUAAACUUCUUUUAAGGGGGAAGAGCAGAAGACGGUACCCCUUGAAUAAGCCACGGCUAACUACGUGCC